UCUUCAACUUCUCACUUAGUGCUGACCAAGUGAUCCCCAGGAAAUCUGUGCUCGCUGAUUCUGCGUAAAAAGGGCCAGGAUCCUCUUGGGAGGAAUGCUGGCUCUGUUGACAUGGCCCAGCUAAGGGCAUCCUAUUGAAGUCAGUAGGUCACCAGGUGGAGGGGUGGCCUUCUUGGGGGUCAGUAGGCAGGGGAAGGGUCGGGCCGGGCAUGGACCAGCAAGCAGUGGUUGGUGGGGGGACUUCUGGGGAGCCGAAGCAGCAGCAGAGCCCUCCCAUUGCUUCUACACCCGAGAAGGCUGAAGGGGACUAGCCAGCCCGCGGAGCGGAACUGCGGCCAGCUGGGCAGGCUACAGGCAGCGGCUGGCAUGGGGAUGGUGGAACCUGACCAGCCACGGGGGGGCUCCCACUCUGUGGACGUUGCCAGCUUGGCUCACUGCAUCUCAGUUCCAUCUCUAUAGUGCUGAAUACAAAAAUAUCCAAUUCUACAGUACAGAUCCUUGCUCCACUUUCUUGUGAUCCUACUGGUGCUUUUAGAUGACUAUAGGG